UAAUCAGGAUAGAAAAAUGACCAGUCUGGAAAGUAAAAUACAAAUUGCUUCAUAUAAUAAAACAUUCUUAAAGCCAAGCUGUAACAAGGUAGAGAAAAAACCUCUAGCUUCCAGUCUGGAUCUGGCCAGGUAUGUUUGCUGAAGAGAAGAGAUAGAUCACAGACAUUUAACCUCAAACUGUAACAUUUCUACAUCAUUGGAGAUGCCAUCCAGCCAGCAGCCUCUCCACUCCCAUCUGUCUACAACCCAGUUCUAAUAAAAGUUGUUAUAUUUC